ensembl:lncRNA
GUCACGCUAAGAUACACCAGAAAGCCAGGCGCAUGCACGCGGCGCGCUGCCGCUUCAAGGCGCGGGCGCGAGAGAGAGAGAGAGAGAGAGAGCGCGAGAGCGUGAGUGCGUAUGUGUCACACAUCGCUGAGAAAAGCUUCCGCGUGCCGUCGGUUCGACCUGCUGCAGGAACACAACGCUGAACUUUACUACUGGAAAAUCAGCACCUAUUCCUACAAGGUCAGUAGAUGUUCUAACUUUAUUAUUAUUAUUUAAAUAUGUUUUUGAGUUUUAUUCCCGGUUUUAGUAGUUUUAUUGUGGCAUGUCCAAUAAUGCACGCGCUGAUGGAUGAGCUGUUUGGCGCGCGAGUUGUAAAAGGUGCACAGGAUGAUGCACAGGUAUACUGUGUGGAUAUUUAUGAUCAAAACAAGUUUAACAAAAACAAACAAACAAAAUCCUCUGCCCCUCGUGCACUUGCGGUAGUACUAAUAAUACAGACAGCUCAGUGUUUUAAUAUUAGAGUCUCAUCUCUUAAAAAAGGUGUCUCACCUGUGCUGGGUUUGGUUUCCGGGAAGCGCGUGCGCUGGGAAUUCACGGUUCUUCCCUCAUCAUUGCAUCCUCUUACAGACUAAAAGGCACCCCAUAUCAUUCAGAGUGCACAUGCACGGUGUAAUGCACAUGAUGGAAGGGCAUGGAGUGUCAUUCUGCAGGAGUGUAGCUGUACAUUCACAGAGGAACUUCACUUAAACGUGGAGUUUUCGGUUGAACCUGGAUUACACAAAGUUUCUGGAGAAGGAGGUCGUUUCAGGAGGAGCGCAUGAUCAUAGCUGGGUUUUUUUCUUCUUCCAGGAGAAAGUAGCUAAUGCUUGCUCGAUAAGGUCCCUAGAAGUCCCCAUAUGACACCCUAGACUAAUCUGCGUAUUUAUUCAGUGGCAUAGGAACGUGUUGGAACAUGAAGAUUUUCUGCAAACACUCAGAAUAGAAAUGAGUUAUACCAAAGUACAAGGUAUUAGAUCAUGGGAUCUGGUUUAUAAAAAGAAGGCGUCUUUGGUCAUGGCACCGCAAAAUAUAAUCUCUAGGACGCAGACUGAACGAGGCAGUGGUAGUGAGGUAUCUGGAAAUAGGUAUGAAGGGGAAUCUGUUAAUGUAAUUUUAUUACUGUAAAUAUUGCCAAUAAAUGAUUUUCAGAUGAAGAACAGAAACAUGCUGGUGGGACAAACAGUGGUGAUGAGUGAUUAAUCACUGGUCACCAUUCUUUCUAUUGACCAGUCAUUGGGAACAGUGAGGGUCGGUGAUCAGUCGUGGGGAACGGUGAGGGUCGGUGAUCAGUCGUGGGGAACAGUGAGGGUCGGUGAUCAGUCGUGGGGAACAGUGAGGGUCGGUGAUCAGUCGUGGGGAACGAUGGGGUCGGUGAUCAGUCAUUGGAACAGUGAGGGUCGGUGGUCAGUCGUGGGGAACAAUGGGGUCGGUGAUUUAAUUUUUGAGAACAAUAGUGACCUGUGAUCAGUCAUUAGGAACAAUGGAAAUUGGUAGAUAGCCAGGGGGUACAAUGGUGAUCAGUGAUUAGUCACUGGAAACAAUGGUCACCAGUGAUUAAUUGUUGAGAACAAUGGUUUCAACAAUGAUCAGUCAUUGAAAACAGUAGUGAUCAGUGAUUAUUCAAUACCAAAGAAUGGUGAUCAGAGAGUAAUUGUUUGGCAGGGUGUACCCCGCCUUGUGCCCCAUGCUCCCUGGGAUAGGCUCCAGGUUUCCUGCGACCCUGUAGGAUAAGCGGUAUAGAAAAUGGAUGGAUGGAUGGAUUAGUUGUCGGGAACAGUGGUGAUCAGUGAUUGAUCCAUGGAAAUGUUGACUCGCACAAAUGCACGAAUUAUAGCGACAGUCACUAAGCUGCAAACUCUGAGCAUGAUGACGAGAACCCAAAUGUCAUAGCCUAAAUCAAAAUCCCUCCGAAAGCUUGAGCAAGUGAACCAGAUAUUAAAAUGAAAAUGUGUUUGUCUAUAUAAAGGUUAUAAAGGUUGCAUUUGCACACUGACACAUUGAGGCUACCGCUGCUCCACUUACCUUUUCCCACAAGGAGAAGUAAAAUACCACGCUUUAUUGAACUGGAUUUUUAUAUGGUAGUGGAAUCGAGUGUUAUGGGACAUCAGUGAAUAAAGGGACACAUAAAUUCGAUACACGCUGAAUGGCCAAGCCCACGGUAUCCCAUCUGGAAACAACAUGCUUCAUAAAUCUUUUUUAUCUUUGUUUUCUUAAAUUGUGUGCAAUUGUUUGGGUGUUUUUCUCUCGCUUGGUGAUGUUUUUAUAUUUUCCAGUUGUUUUACUGGAUUGGGCAACAACAGCAUGGAGAAAAUUGAGUGAGUCUGAGAAAGGUGUGUGUGUGUGUGUGUGUGUGUGUGUGUGUGUGUGUGUGUGUGGUGUGUGAGAGGUUGGAUAUCUUUCACAGCACUUUUGUUUGGAAUUUGAUUCCUCUUUAAAGAACCACUUGUAGAGUCAGCACUUGUGUUAUUGUCUAGUCAGUGCAGAGGAAAAACAGGAACAUCAAUCAGCAUUUUAUAUUAAACUUAAAAAGUACUGAAAUUUCUGAAAACACAUUUAAAUGCAGAGAAUUGACAAGUACACAAAUUAUAGCUUUAUGACUGCAUGCUGGUGCAUCACAAGUGUAACUUGUUUGUUUUUUUUAUUGGUUUUUGUGUGAAUGCCUCUUUGUUUCUUUUUUUAUUUUAUUUUAUUUUUUUAGAAAAAUUGUAAUAACUGGACUUCAAAUAUAUUUAGCCAGCAAUGUAUCUUUUAUUCAACUAAACAUGCUUCCUCAGAGUCACUGACCUUCACAAUGACCUUGACUCUCCUCCUCAUCGACGCUGCGUUUAACACACUCCUUGCUGCCUACUGCUGAUGUGAAAACACACUCCCGACGUUUCAGUUUUGAAACCUCAGAGGUGAGCUCAACAUUUCCUACAUGGCUGACAGAGGUCUGAAACCAGCUUGUUUAUUAUGCAGAAGGAAGAACAGGGUAAUUUUAUUAUUUGCGUCCUUAUGCGAUACAUCAAAGCAGAACUCUGAGGCUCUUCGUUCUCUCCGGGAAAUCCAUUCGCGCAGCAGUGUCUCUCGCUGCUUGAGUCAAGGUCUGAAAUGAAUUUUCUUUCCCCAGUGUGGGAGCUAAAUGAGUGAUUUUCCACCUGCCACUUCCGAAAGUCGUGUGGAAAAUGUUGGAAUUACGAACAGACCCAUAUUAUGUUUCAAAUGCAAAAUAAUUCGUCUUUUUUUAAAUUUUUUUCUUUCUGUAAGACGUGUCAGGAAUGACUUUAGUUGUGCAGUUGUUUGCGUUUGACCUUCGAUCAUAUUAAUGCAUAAAAUGGGUACUAUAAUACAAUUCUUCAAGGUGUUUUUCCGAAUAGUACCUUCCCCUGGGAAACUAUUGGAAUGGCAAGGCCACUGAAGAUAUCGACAGCUCUCUGAUCUUCAUCUUGGUUUAUCCUCUUUAACAACAAAGGCAGGUCUUUCCAGGUGAAACUGAAGGUUAAAACCAAGAGUAGAUAUUCAGAGCUACUUAUUGUUUAAAUAAUCAAUCUAACAGGACACACCGGGGUAACGAGAAACACCUGUCGGUCACGCGUUCCAAUAUUUUUGCUUGCCUACAAAUUUGGUGGUCGGAUACCAAAUGUGCUAUGUUUUUAUGUUUAACACGUCUACAUGUAAAUAGCAGGAAAUAAAAACAGAACUCUCGUCUCGUAUACACCUUUUGAUCUCACUGAAAUGUCUCGGCCUUGUUGUUCUAAUAGUUUCGGAGGGGACUGUAUCUUCGACAUCCUGGUAGCAUUUCCACCUCUGGGGUUCGAUCCUGAGCUCGCGUUAAUGUCUACACAUGUGCUUCCUGUUUCUCUGGAUUCCUGUCAGAGGUGUAUUCGUUGUAAGUGCGUUGGUGACUCUAAAUCGCAUGUAGAUGUUGGUGAAUGUUGCGUGUGAACGGUUGCACGGUGCCAUGUAACAGACAGGCGUCCCAUCCAAGGAGUAGUCCCAGGAUAGGCUCCGGAUCCCCCGCCACCCUGACCAGGAUGUAAAGUGCUUCCUGAAGAUGAAUGAAUGAACCAUGCACUGAAUCAUUUGACUUUGGACCCAUGAUGCCAAUAUGACCAAACACACUGUCCUUGGGUGGGGAAGUGAGAGAAAGUAAACACCCCCAACACUCACCAAGUCUCAAAAGUAAUUCUUGGGGCUCAGUGAAUGAAGGAGAGUCGUAGAACGUGGUUCUUGAACAAAAUGACUCCUCUGAAUGACUUGCACUUUGAAUGAAACCGGGGUGAACAAAUGAUUCAGCAUUAGUCUACCAUGAAACGUUACACAACAAAGCGAAUUAAAAAAUCUUGUGCAUCCUUGUGCGAUGUUUAAUAUAUAUCUUAAUGUAUAACUUAAAAAUGAAACGCCGUAUCGUUUCGCUUUUACCCUUGUUACCUCUUUAACUUCAUUCACUAAGUGAAUUUUGCAUUUUUAUUCUUUCCACACCCAUUUUUUGAUCCAAAGCAUCAUACAACUGAGGCAGACUCCAAAGGCUAAGUAGUUGAUGAUUAAGAGUGUUACUUGGGUUGUGUUGGGAUUUCAGUCUUACAGUCUUCAGGUCAGUGCACAAGUCCUUAACCCUCUGAGAAACUGAGAUCCAGACCUCCACCUUCUAUUUGGAGAACAUAAUGGCAGAGAAUUGUUGGAAAAUCUAGUGAAAAUUUAGUCAGUUGCUUUAUAGAUCGAUCAGACAGCCUGACUAUCUGGGCCGGCUGUGGUUCAGGUGGUAGAGCGGGUUUUCCACUAAUCACAGGGUUGGCGGUUCAAUUCUCCGCCCACAUGCUCCACAUGCCGAAGUGUCCAUGGGCAAGACGCCGAACCCUAAGUUGCUCUCAAUGGCAGGCUAGCACCUUGGUGAGUGUGUGUGAAUGGGUGAAAUGAGAAACAGUGUAAAGUGCUUUGUAGAGCUGCUAAGGUUAAAGUGUAAUAUAAGUGGAUACCAUUUACUGUUUUUAACUGAAAUAUAUUUCUUUGAAAUGUAUUGAUUUUAAGCGACAUAAGUAAUUAAGAGGGAAAUGUUUUAUUACUACACCACCAUGCUUUUAAAUUCAUGAAUCUGGUUGGUCAGAAGGUGUUGGUUAUUUGUUUUGACUGCAAGGCAAAUCCCAGGAUUAUAUUAAAGAGCUUGUUUUAAUACGUUACCGUUUCUAUAGUAAUGGCUCAUUCGCAGAGACUUCCAUGCCAGACCGUCUACAAAAAACAUAAUUGUUGAUGUUGACGUAAGGUUUUCUGUGAGGAGAUGUUUGUUUAGCACUAAUGGAAGGAGUCUCCAGUGUCAGUGGUUUCUCAGUAACAAGACAAGCUGUUAUUAUUAUUUUUUUUCCUUAUUAAUGAACUAGAUAUGGGGGGGUGGUGUUUAUAGGUGUUAUGAUAUACAUGAUAAUAGGAAAUUGUUUUGUUCGCCAUUUCAUAAAAUUUCAAUUUUAACUAUAAACUGAUAAAGCUUCUAGCGUCUGCUAGAAAUUUUUGAGGUAUGAGCGGAAUAAUAAAUCAAGGAAAAUAAUCAUCUUCUGGGCGGUUACAGUAACUGUUCUUUGUGUUGGGCCAACUGAUUAUUUUCCUUUCUUCAAGCGCCACUUGCAGAGUUUUAUUCCUCUUAUACAACAACAAUUUGCAUAUAGCAAUUUUUUUUAUGCAUUUUUGCGUUCUGUACGUAUUUGUAAAUACAGUGGCCUCCAUUAAUAUUGGCAACUCCAGGUGUUUAACAAAAAUAUUGCAUUAAAUUUUAGCAAUUACAGCCAUUUUUUCAGAGCCCCCCCCCCCCCCCUCCCCCACUGGCUCAAAAGUAAUUGGACAAUCAACUGCUAGGAAGUCUCAUGGCCAGGUGUGACCUGUUUCCUUGUUAUUUCAUGAUAAAUUACGGAGAUAACAGGUUUGGAGUUGAUUCUAAGCAUUGAAUUUGCAUUUGGUCGUUAUAACCCUCGAUACGCUGCCCGUAAGCGAGGCGUCGACGCAAGUGAAGGAGGCUGAAAAAGAAACGGGUGUAAUUCCUAAACGGUUAAUGCAGUAUUUUUGUUACACCCCUUGAAUUAAAGAUGAAAGUUUUCCAUUUCAAUCACAUCUUGAUUGCUUCAUUUCAAAUCCGUUGUAAUGGUUUACAGGGGCAAAAUUACAUAUGGACCUAUGGACUCGACUGUAUGUCGUCCUUUUUAACGUUUUCAUUUCGUUCAUAAUUAUUUAAGUUUAAUGUAUCCGUUUCCACUGAUGGUCUUCUUGCUGAGUGUGCUGUCCUGUAAGAAUUAUGACGUAAUACUCAAUAGCAGGUAUCUUUAAGCUAGUGAACAGACCAUGACGGCACAAAGCUGAACUGUUAGAACUGAUAUAUUUGCGUCAGCUGCUUAGUGAGACGUAUUUUUUAUCUUGAAAGUGCUCACACAAACGUACAAUUUAAAAAAAAAAAAAAAAUUAUUGUUGAGCUAUAGGGGGAAUUUCUUAACGGUCGUGAAGUUUUGGAUGAAUCCGCAGUAGUCCGAACGCUCAACCCCAUUUUGUGUGUUUUUAAAGGACAUCCUUCACUCAUCAUCAAAGCGUUUCACAGUUCUACACCUCGGGAUGAUCGAUCGCCUGAAACGUGUCGUUUAUUAUUUCUCUCAUGACAACAGACGUCUCGGAUUUCUCCAACGUGCCGUCUGUGGUUUUGUAUCAGCCGUACGACAGAGCCAGGAUCCGCUAAUGCCUGUUAAUCAGAGAUUUACGAGCUGCAUCGCUGAUUAAUUCUGUUCCGUGGGAGGCCGCUGGUGUGCGAUGGUGCCACAGAGGUGUAUCGGGUGUCCGGUGUGUAAAUAAGCCGAUGGAGGGUUUGGCUGCAGCUCUACGGCUUUUGGCAAGGCAACCCGGGCCAAGUUAUGUUCAUACGCUGCCUGAUUUAUACGACGCCGGUGAAACACAGUGCCAGGUUUUAUUGGAUGCACUAAAGCGAGCUAAACGUUGGAUUUGUGGCAUAGUGAGCCUUGAAAUAAACCCACCGUUGUGCUGCUCAUCAACACUCACCUGCCACACCAGGCUAUAAAUGAAUGGUCCUGUUGUAAAGCUAGCUAUGAGCAUCGCAUUGCUUUCAGGUGGCAUGGUGUAAAUAUUUGGAUGAAAACACGAGAUUUUAGGUGAAUUUGAAAAAAAUGCAACAGACGAAGGUCUGUGGAGGUUUGAAGUGGCAAACUAAAAUGAUCUCAAAUUAGUGCCAGCCAAACACACACAGUCAUGCCCCGUCUUCCAAUACCAUUUAACACGACCUUGUCGGAUUCCCUUCAUACCCUAAAAGUUCUGCAAGGGAAGGGAGAGUGUGUGUAGCUGACAACUGAUGAUUUACUUGGGGAUUUGCGUGCAAUAUUUCGAAAAUAAAAUCAAAAUAUUUGUUUUUCUAACUUGCUAGCAAAAUUCUAGUGUAGUGAUUGUUGCUUAAAAAUGAUUGGAAAAACCCUCAAGAAAUCCCGUUAGUGUGCUAAUUACUAGUACCUAUUUUCUAGCAGGUCAAAAUAAAUGAGCAGCUAGUUAGCAUGACUGAGUAAUUGCUACUUAAAAUAAACUUUUAUCCCUAGAACAUAGAGAAUGAUUUUGAAAGUAAUGGAUGCAUAACUUUUACAGCAGUGCAGUCGAAUUCACGAUUCUGAUUGGUCAAAAAGUGUUUAACAGCAAAUUUGACACUUUAUAUUAACGCUCUUAUUCUAAUACAUUAUUGUUGCAGUAACGGCUCAUACACCUACACAAAGUUAUACACACAAUGGACAAUUUGGAAAUGCUAAUCCGCCUACAAUGUAUGUGUAUUUGGGCUGGCGGAGGAAACCGGAGACCCUGGAGGAAACCCCCGAAGCACGGGGAGAACAUGCAAAAUCCACAUACACACACACACACACACACACACACACACACACACACACACAGGGUGAAAGUGGGAUUCGAACCCCCAACCCUGGAGGUACUAGGCUCAGUCUUUUUCAGAAUCUGAUAAUCUGUAUGUUUCUUUGAGGAGGAAGAGCGCUAAUCUGAGCUUGAGCACGCAUGUCUGACUCUGUCCCCUCCCUCAUCCUUUACUCAUGGCUGCUCAAAACACCGUGUCAAUUUCACAGCUGUCCUAUAACAGCAGGUCGUGUAUUGAUUUGAACUCAUUCCUCAGUUUAAUCUUUGCACAUUCAGAACUCGGCAAACAACCUCAGAGUAGAGUAAGACACGGCUUGUCAGAUUCCUGCAGGGUCAAAGGUCAGAAACUAGUACAAAUUCCAGCCAGAGCAGCGUGAAAAAUAAAAAAAUUGCACUAUUAUAGCCAAAUACUGUGAUGUCAGUUGAAUUUUGAAUUCAUUUUAUUAUCCAAGUUUGCCAUAUAAGAAUUUGCAUUAAGUAAAAAAAAAUUGCAGAUGGGUUUAAAAAAAAAAAAAACAAAGGCAUCGGACAGAAAACAAGAUUCAAGCAAAGGGUCUUUAAAGAUAUUUUAGUAAUGGCCAAUUUUUUAUUUUUUUUUUGCGUUUUAUUUGGCAGUAGAUGGGGCAUAUUGUAUGGGUGUGUCAUUGAGUGGGACAGAUGUACGUACCUCUGAAUGGAGAUUUUUAAAAUUUAUUUAUAUUUUUUGAAUGAAACCGAAGUGAAUGUAUUUGAGUGGGACAGACGGUUUAUCUUUAGGCAGUCAUUGAGUGACACAGAUGGGCAUGGUUUUGAGUGGCAAUAUGGAUGUGUCAUUGAGUGGAAAGACAGAUUUGACAGAGGGAUUUGAUUGUGAUUGUGCUGUUCAGUGGAGCGUCAUAGAUUGGGAAAGAUGGGUGUGCUUUUUGCAGGACAUAUGGGUGUGUCUUUCUUUGAGACAGAUUUGUCUAUGAGUGGGACAGAUGCAGAGAUGUGCAUGUGUUUGAAUGGGAGAGUGGGAGAGAUGGGCGUGUCUUUAUGGGGACAGAGGAAGAGAUGGGCGUGUCUUUGAAUGGGACAGGUGGAGCGAUGGAUGCGUCUUUAUGUGGGACAGAUGGAGAGAUGGGCGUGUCUUUAUGUGGGACAGAUGCAGAGAUGGCUGUGUCUUUAUGUGGGACAGAUGGGCGUGUCUUUAUGUGGGACAGAUGGGUGUGUCUUUAUGUGGGACAGAUGGAGAGAUGGGCGUGUCUUUAUGUGGGACAGAUGGGCGUGUCUUUAUGUGGGACAGAUGGAGAGAUGGGCGUGUCUUUGAAUCGGGAUAGGAUGUGUGUGUUGUUGAGUGGGACAGAAAGCCUCAUCAUGUCUCAUUUGUUUCCUGAACAGAAACUUGAGUGAUGAUCCAAAGUGGCCUGUUUGUCUUUGCAGUUUAGGUGCUGUGUCUCGCUGCAAAAUUUCAGUAAAGGGCAUUUUCUGACAUACAGUACGCUUUUCUCUCCUCCUAUAAAAAGCUGCGCCGUGGUGGUGCAGGUGAGCGGUUAUUGGUCUCAUUCUGUCCGUGGUGAUUUAUAGACCUCUUGGCUGUGGGGGAAAGUGAUCUAUGGCUUUAGGUGGAGCUUGUGCUUGAGCAGUGCACCUGUAAUGUUAAUAUGAUUUAGUAUUUUUAGAAAAGAGAAUUUUAUUAUCCCUGGAUCGGUGUGGAAAUAUUGCAGUGGCGGUUCUUUUCAUAGCUAAAUAUAAAGCGCAUGUGUUUUUAUAGGCGUUGAUGCAUGGUGAUGUUACGACACACUGACAGCUCCAUGUGAAAAUGUGCUUAAUAUGGCUUUAAUCUCUUUUAUCUCUGAGGUUUCGUCACUCUGUUCCACCAACUUGUUCUCAUUCCUUUUUUUUUUUUUUUGGUGAAUAAAAUCGGCAUCAAAGUGUUUAGUCGAAUUUAACAGCCUACAAAUGAUGGGUUGCUAAACUUUAGAUAAUAAGGGUUCUUAAUUUAUUAGCAAUGUUAGCCUUGUACUGUAGCUUCAGUGCAGUGAAGACGCAAGGGCUAAUGUGUGUGUACAUUUCAUUUUUAGCUCAUCCAUCACUUUAAAGUGGAGAAUUUCACCUUUCUCACUGCUAAGUCAGAGCAGCAAUGUGCAGAGUAGCCAUUAGUUUAAUCCUUAAUAUCCACACA